CCUGAACGCACCUGUGGUACAAGUGACGUCUUCAUUUGUGUUGAACCUGGUUUGAACCUGCAGUGAAGCUGCGCUGCUCCUCGAGCUAGCAGGUAGCUCCUCGAGCUAGCAGGUAGCUCCUCGAGCUAGCAGGUAGCUACGAAGCCAGCGCAGAAUGGACCGGAUUUGGACCAGAAAUGUACCGAAGAAAAGCUGAACAACAGACACGAAAGAGGCUGUUUCUACCAGGCAGACCCUGAGAGAGAGCACGAAGCAGUUGGCUGGAAAUCAGACCGAAAAGAAACAAGAACACAGAGAGUUUAGUUACGGAGCGACUGACAUGGAUGAAGUGCAGUCAACGACGGUUGUCGUCUCUGUCCAUGGUGCUGAAAAGGACAACGGUCUGAAAACUGAAACUGCUGAAGUUCCCAGCCCUGGAAAGGAUGAAGCAGUGGAAGGAGAAUGGAGGACAAAGGCAGAACAGGUCUUCAAGAGGGAGUCCACACCCCCUAGUGGACCAUUGAGGGCCACACAGGGCCACCAGAGGGCCACACAGGGCCACCAGAGGCUCAACAGCUGAAGGACGUCAGGCGUCUUCUCAGGUCCUGUCUCUUCUCUGCCAUCUACCGUCAGCCAUGAGAACAACACCACACGGCUAAAGACACUGCCAGCCAUGCCCUGCCUCUAAAAACAAACACCAGUUGUUAGCAUUUCCAUCGCUCACACCAAGAUCGAGUCGAUAAUAUUCUGUCGUGGAAUUCUUUGCUGAUUGUUCUUUCUGUAGACAUCGCCCGUUUUUCUUUAAACACAUAAAUAUAUAGACCAGACGAGGAGGAGAGAAGAUGCCGGAGCUGGAGAGAAGCUGUGGCGCUGUUCAGCUGAUGAGCGCGGUGAUGCUGCCGCUGCUGCUGCUGCUGUCGAUCUCCGGCUGUUCCUGCAUGGACGUGCUGGUAACAAAUAACAUCAAUGCACUGAACGGAUCGACAAUCAAAAUCUCCUGCACUUUCACUUCCUGCUACAAGAUGGACGCAGCUCAGUUCUCCAUGAACUGGACCUACCAGGAGUCCUCCAAUCACACGGAGGAGAGGUUCAUGACCUACCAUGUGAAAAAGAAAAUGGUACCUGUCCGCUCAGACCGCUUCGGGGACAGGGUGAUGUUUGCCGGGAACUUAGAUAAGAAUGACCUGUCAAUCACCCUGUCGGAUGUUCAGUUGGAGGAUGUGGGAAUUUACAACUGCUACGUGAAGAACCCCCCCGACCGCAUCCAGGGUCACGGAAUCAUCCAGCUCAACGUCGUCACUGAACUUCCCCCUCCGAGAGACUCAACCAUUGCGGUGGCCAUCGGCGCCUCGGUGGGCGGAGCCCUGGCUCUGCUGAUCCUCUCUAUGGUGGUGGUGAAGUGUCUGCGUCGACACCGGAAGCAGGAACUGAUUUCAGAGGAGAAGAUGGAGGAAGAGGGGAAACUGGAGGCCGACGGCGUGACUGAGGAGGAGGCCAAGUAAGGCGUGGCUGGUUGUCAUGGUGACACUAGUCCAAAUCUCUGGUUCACAUCUAAAUAUGAGUCUUCUAAAAAAUAUUGAAACAAUAUCAGUCCAGGUUUGUGGAGAAAUUACUGCAGAGGACAUUUUGCAGUUUUGUAAUAGCAAAGUUCCAAGCUUUAGAAAAACCAGGUGCAUGAUGGGAAUGGUGAAGAACACCCUAAACAGAACAGACUUCAGUUCAUCCACAGUUUUACUAAUGCUAACCUGCUGUUGGGGUUUGGGGAAACUCUAGGCAACCAUAACAGGAACCAACGAAGCCCCCCCCCCACCCCCCAACGAACCCAACGCCACACAGCUUCUUCCUGACGACCUGAAGUAAACACUGCCACAAUCAGUCAUCGGUCUGACCACACACUGGUCCAGCUGUGUUUCUUCUUUUUUUUUCUCCUCACUGUGACACUAACCCGUCACUGUAACCAGUCAUAACUUUACCAGGUUAACCACACCAGCUGUGUCCAAAAUCACUGCCAAUGUCACCAGAAGGGGCGUGGAACCAACACAGGCCAUUUGAUUGGUUGUAAUGUUAAAGGAUUUCCUGACCAGCUGAUAACUAACUAAACUAACUAGACUGAACCAAUUAUCAUUUAUUAAUUUGUAACACAAAGUUGACUUUGUAUUUCUCUUGUUAACGAACAUAUUUAUCUUGAAAAGUUUCCUUUUUUAUCAAAUUAAUUUUAUUUUGUAAUUUCUGAAACAUUCUUCACUUUGUCUUUUUUGAUUGGCUGCUCCGUUGUUACUUGUUUUGCAGCUGCACGUGUCAUUCCUUCCAUUCUUGUAGAUAAUGUCAUGUGAUCACACCUGAGGACCAAGAAUGCUGUGGCAGAAACUGAAAUGAUUCUCCUUUUCCAAAGGGUUGAAUUUGUCUUUAUAUUUUGUAUAUGUUGCCCUCGUUAUUGACAUCACAUAUAUAUAUAUAUAUAUAAAACAUCCAAAACCAGUCAAAUCAAAACUAACAUCACAACCAACAGAGGCCCACCCACAGACAACAGUCAGUACCAGUCAGUACCAUUAUUGCACACUAGGAGUGCCAGUGAGAACAGCAGAGUAAAAACAGAUCCACCUUUAAAUGAAUAUUGCUGGUUGACAGGGUUGGUUACAAUAACCCUGUAGGUUAGUCACCUAGUCACCGAUGUUUCGAGCAUGUCAUACCAGUGCAGCUCAGUAACCAGUACUAUCAUCAGUUAAACCAGUUACUUGUUACUAAAGAGUUAUUUGACAGCAUGCAUUUGACAAGUUUGACAAGUAUUCAGUUCAAAUAAAAAAACUAAAUAUGUGAUUAAAGAUAUACAAUAUAUAUGUAUAUGCACAUAUAUACGUAUAUGUGCAUAUAUAUGUGUGUAUAUAUAUUCUAUAUAUCUCAGAUAGUCUAAACAAUAUUUAAAUACUACAAUAUAUUUACAAAAUAUUAUUGAAAUAUUAGAACUCCAAAGUGAUGUGUUUACUUGGACACAGACGUGUUGCUAGGUAGACUGGUUGUUUUGCACAUUAUAUAAACACUGACAAGCAUGAUGGGAAAUAUAUAAAUAUAUGUAUAUAUGUAUAUAUAUAUAUAUAUAUAUACAUAUACAUAUAUACAUAUACGUUGGCUAAAAUGGUCAAUUUGAAUGUAGUGGAACCAGAACAGAUGUUUAUUUAUUUUACUUUGAAUGUAAAAAAGUACUGUAGUACCAAAUAAGAGAUGAAUAUUUCAUUUAAUGACGUGUUGUAGCAUGUGGGACGUGAUAAUCACUGAAUGGGGAGGGGAG